CUAGCCGUAAACGAUGGAUACUAGGCGUUGUGAGUAUCGACCCUCACAGUGUCGUAGCUAACGCGUUAAGUAUCCCGCCUGGGGAGUACGCGCGCAAGCGUGAAACUCAAAGGAAUUGGACGGGGGCCCGCACAAGCGGUGGAGUAUGUGGUUUAAUUCGAUGCAACGCGAAGAACCUUACCAGGACUUGACAUGUCGCGAAUCUCAGGGAAACUUGAGAGUGCCUUCGGGAGCGCGAACACAGGUGGUGC
rnacentral:rRNA from 1 species